UACGUAGGGUGCAAGCGUUGUCCGGAAUUAUUGGGCGUAAAGAGCUCGUAGGCGGUCUGUCGCGUCUGCUGUGAAAACUCAGGGCUUAACCCUGAGCUUGCAGUGGGUACGGGCAGACUAGAGUGCAGAAGGGGCAACUGGAAUUCUCGGUGUAGCGGUGAAAUGCGUAGAUAUCGAGAGGAACACCUGCGGCGAAGGCGGGUUGCUGGGCUGACACUGACGCUGAGGCGCGAAAGCUAGGGGAGCGAACGGG
rnacentral:rRNA from 1 species